UCUAAGCAUAUUAGUAUCGAAGCAAGAAAACCUUCAGAGAGAAAAGAGGCAGAUUCCAGUGAAAGAAUUCUUUGUCAUAGCCCUCCACCACUUCCACCACCACUUGCACUGGUGGAGCUUAAAACUCAAGCUGCAUGUAGUACAGAAACAGAGGUUAUAUACUGUCUCUAAUUAGAAGAAUGGAAAUUUUAGAAGAACAGAGUAUCAUGGUGCCAUCCCAAUUGGGUUGCUUAACAUACCAUUUCUUUGGAAAUACUAGCCCGGCAUGAACACAAGGGCAGGUACUCUGCUACAUACAUGAACAGUAAUGGAAGUACUCCUAGUGCCCCAUCUGCUUGUAAUCUACCUCAGCAUACUGAUCAAGUA